CCGCUCCCGCCUGCCCACAAGCCGCCUUGGCCCCAGAGACACCCUAGAGAGGGCUAGCGCUGAAGCGUUUCCCGCUUUACAUUCCCCAUUGGCCCCCGAGCCCUUUCCGUUACCCUUUGGUGGUCUCUUGAUCAGCUAUAUGUGUUCCUAUAUCUCUGUUUAUCCACUAGCAUAGAGACCCAGGUGUCAUUGCGAGCGCUGCCCGCCUACUUUCUCCCUUCUCCAACUCUGAGAACAAGGCCUACUUUCUCCAACUCAAGGUCUACUUUCUCCCUUCUCCAGCUCUGAGAAUAAGGCCUACUUUCUCCAACUCUGACAAGUCCUACUUUCUCCCUUCUCCCUCUCUGGGAACAUGGUUUACUUUCUCCAACUCUGAGAACAAGGUCGACUUUCUCCCUUCUCCUUCUCUGGGAACAAGGUUUACUUUCUCCAACUCUGACAACAAGGCUUAAUUUGUCCCUUCUCCAUCUCUGAAAUCAAGCCCUACUUUCUCCCUUCUCCCUCUGAGAACAUAGUUUACUUUCUCCAACACUGAGAACAAGGCCUAUUUUCUCCAUCUCACAGAAUAAGGCCUACUUUCUCCAACUCUGAGAACAAGGCCUACUUUCUCCCUUCUCCAGCUCUCAGAAUAAGGCCUACUUUCUCCAGCUCUGAGAACAAGGCCUACUUUCUCCCUUCUCCAUUGAAAUCAAGCCCUACUUUCUCCCAUCUCCAUGGUUUGCCCAUGCCUGUAACUCUUUAAUGUGGGAGGAAUUGUAGUCAUGCGAUUGUACUGAGCAUGUUCAGAUGCAGGACUCCGUUUUGUUAGGCCUCGUUGGAGUGGCGGAGGAGGAAAAGGAAAGGGCCUGAGGCUGCUAGGAAUGGUGGGAGUUGGAGUCCAAAACACCUGGAGAGAGGUUUGCCCAUGCCUGUAACUCUUUAAUGUGGGAGGAAUUGUAGUCAUGCGAUUGUACUGAGCAUGUUCAGACGCAGGACUCCAUUUUGUUAGACCUCGGGUGGAGUGGCGGAGGAGGAAAAGGAAAGGGCCUGAGGCUGUUGGGAACGGUUUUCAUGAACACACGUCCUGUACUGAACAUGUUCAGACACAGGACUCCAUUUUGUUAGACCUCAGUGGAGUGGCAGAGGAGGAAAAGGAAAGGGCCUGAGGCUGUUGGGAAUGAUUUUCAUAAACACACGUCCUUUGUUCACAGCGACUCAUACUUGCAGUAUUUUUCAUUGCUGCCAAUACUCUAAAAGUGUAUCUAUGGUUGAAUUGGCGGGUCCGGGAAAGAAACAACCUUUAUUACUCGCGCGGUUCCAGAGCCGGGACGAGUCCUCUGCUUCCUCGCCUUCUCUCUGCAAAUCAAAUCAGAAAUUGGACAGAAAUCAAAGGAGCCCAACUCUCUGCGGAGCACAGAUGGUCUCCAUUGAAGCGGAGGGGUCCGGGCACGUUUGCAGAUUCCAACCAACAACAACAACGACAAAAAAACGCAUCCCUUGCAAAUUAAGUUUGGGAACCAUUCGCGCCAAUGGGGGGAAAAAAACCCGGAGGAUCCUGAUUCUGCACCCCAAAGCCUUCUCCGGGCGGACUCCAGCUCAAGGCCUCGCGCAAAACCCAUCCCUGGUUUUAUGCGAAAUCCCUGCGUUUGCCGUUCUGCGCCAUAUGUUGCCUUGCGACCUCAGCUGUGUAGGAAGCGGAGGGAGGGGAGCAAAAAAGCAGCGUGAGGAAAAGAAAUGCAGAGAUGGCCGCGUUCCCAUUUUCCUGGGCUUCCCACUUCGAUAUCAAUUCGAGGCCCUUCUUUGCAAACCAUGUCUCUUUGCAAAUCCAUCACCUUCUUAACUAUUUGGACUAGAUAGUAGGCAUGUCCGGUCGAUGAAAAAAACGUUUCAAUUCUCGUUUCUAAAGUAGGGGGCGCUGGCGCUUCGAUAUAGAAAGUAUUUCCGAUUUUUUCACCCAAAAACUUCGGAUAUUUCCGAAAAUUCGUAAUGAUUCUAAAUGUUUCUAAAAUUGCGGACGCGCAUGCGCAAUUGCCAAAAAAAAAGGAACCCGGGGGGGGGGAGGGGACUUUUACAGGGCUCUCCCGCCCUCAUUUCUUGAGCUAUCUUCAUCAACCCUAGCCCCCACCUUUGCGUCCAUCGUGGAAGCUUCUGAUUGGCUGGGGAGCGGCAGCCAUGUUAGGCUGCGCUAAGCUCCCAUUCUAGGUAGGUUGCAGAAACAA